rnacentral:rRNA from 1 species
GACGUAGGAUGCAAGCGUUAUCCGGAAUUAUUGGGCGUAAAGCGUUCGUAGGUGGUUUGUUAAGUAGGAUGUUAAAUCCCUGAGCUCAACUCAGGAUUGGUGUCCUAAACUGGCAGGCUGGAGACAGGUAGAGGUAGAUGGAACUCUGUGUGUAGGGGUAAUAUCCGUAGAUAUACAGAAGAACACCAAAAGCGAAAGCAAUCUACUGGACCUGUUCUGACACUCAAGAACGAAAGCGUGGGGAGCAAACGGG